GCAUAUCAAUAAGCGGAGGAAAAAGAAACCAACAGGGAUUGCCCUAGUAACGGCGAGUGAAGCGGCAACAGCUCAAAUUUGAAAUCUGGCUCUCGGGCCCGAGUUGUAAUUUGUAGAGGAUACUUUUGAUGCGGUGCCUUCCGAGUUCCCUGGAACGGGACGCCAUAGAGGGUGAGAGCCCCGUCUGGUUGGAUGCCAAAUCUCUGUAAAGUUCCUUCGACGAGUCGAGUAGUUUGGGAAUGCUGCUCUAAAUGGGAGGUAUAUGUCUUCUAAAGCUAAAUACCGGCCAGAGACCGAUAGCGCACAAGUAGAGUGAUCGAAAGAUGAAAAGCACUUUGAAAAGAGAGUUAAAAAGUACGUGAAAUUGUUGAAAGGGAAGCGUUUAUGACCAGACUUGGGCUUGGUUAAUCAUCUGGGGUUCUCCCCAGUGCACUUUUCCAGUCCAGGCCAGCAUCAGUUUUCCCCGGGGGAUAAAGACUUCGGGAAUGUGGCUCUCUUCGGGGAGUGUUAUAGCCCGUUGUGUAAUACCCUGGGGGGGACUGAGGUUCGCGCAUCUGCAAGGAUGCUGGCGUAAUGGUCAUCAACGACCCGUCUUGAAACACGGACCAAGGAGUCGUCUUCGUAUGCGAGUGUUCGGGUGUCAAACCCCUACGCGUAAUGAAAGUGAACGCAGGUGAGAGCUUCGGCGCAUCAUCGACCGAUCCUGAUGUUCUCGGAUGGAUUUGAGUAAGAGCAUACGGGGCCGGACCCGAAAGAAGGUGAACUAUGCCUGUAUAGGGUGAAGCCAGAGGAAACUCUGGUGGAGGCUCGCAGCGGUUCUGACGUGCAAAUCGAUCGUCAAAUAUGGGCAUGGGGGGCGAAAGACUAAUCGAACCUUCUAGUAGCUGGUUUCCGCCGAA
rnacentral:rRNA from 1 species